UUAUAACACAUCUAGUGCCUUCAUGCAAUCCUCAGACAAUAAAAAUAUAUAUACUGUGUUUAUUAAAUAAUAUUUAUCUCUCACAUUUUUUAUUGAUUUUGCCAUCAUGGAACAGUACACUGUACAUUAGUCCUCAAGAAAUUAACAUUUGUUAAUUUCUUGAGGAUGGGGUCAUAACCCCAAAAUAUUGAAUGCAAGCAGCAAACUGAUAUACAAAGAAUUACUGUGGAUAAUUGCCAAACCCAUUCGCUGCCAGCCAGAACCAUGAAAAGAUAGAAGUGGCUUCUACCAUCACUUCAACUGUCUUUGCCCUGAGAAUAAAGACAAAUUUCAAAUGAAAAGAAAUACAAAAAAAAAAAAAAUAGAUUUUCCACGAGGCUUUGGUUAGUUUGGGACUAUGGAAGAAGGCACUAGCACCAAAGAGCCACACGCUAGAACUGAACCUGAAACCAUGUGGUCGAGAAGUGAUCUUCUUAGCCAAACAAUCAUUUCCCUUCGUUUUGCUCUGAAAAAUCAUUGUCUCCAAUUCAAUUUCAUGAACGUUAACACCAAACCGCUCCUUUAUUUCAGGAUCAUGAAUUUUAUGUCCAACAGCUGGUUUACAGAGGAAAGACCAAUCUGUGAUUUUUAUUUUCAUUUUGUAUUAUUAAUUCUAAAAAUAGCUUA